GAGGGAUGGGUGACCAAGACAUAUCCUUCCUCACCACCAGAAGAAGAAAUCUCAUGUUAUUAGGAAAGUUGGUUCUAAUAGGGCCACUUGGAGUGGUGAGAACAAAGCAAAUAAGGUGUUUUCUUCCGACAACAAUGACUUGAUCAGAAGUGUUAAACAGUUCCAUUAUGAAAACUACAAAGGUGAAGACUGUUGAUGAUAAUCACUCUUGGAUCAUGUAUGAGUACACCCAUAUCUUACUU
rnacentral:misc_RNA from 1 species